rnacentral:sRNA from 1 species
GAUUACACUCUCUGGCCUUUCUGGGUCGACACACACGUAGACCCUCCGUUCCAUAAGAGCAGGUGAGGUAGGGACAGGGAAGACUGGGGCGAGAUAGGACCCAGCCAGGGCUGAGCGCACUCUUGCCCUCUCCAGUGAUGGAACUGUACGAGAUAGGCGGGGCCAAGACGUCCGACUGUACCCAGAGGUGCCUGAGGUCCUAAAACGAUUGCAGAGCCUUGGGGUGCCCGGUGCGGCUGCUUCAAGGACAAGUGAGAUAGAAGGGGCCAACCAGCUACUGGAGCUCUUUGACCUCUUCAGGUGUUACCUGCAUUCACAUCCAGAAUGGAAUGAAUCUUCAAACUCUAAGUCAAGGGUUAGAGACAUUUGCGAAGGCCCAAACUGGGCCUUGAGGUCCAGCCUUGAGGAGAGCCCAUUUGAGGCCUAAACUGAAAGGAAAUCAAGAAGGCAUUUUCAGGUGCAUUUGUAAUUUAUUAAAGUUCAUCUGUGUGUGACAGAA